rnacentral:rRNA from 1 species
GACGAACGCUGGCGGCGUGCUUAACACAUGCAAGUCGAACGGAAAGGCCCUGCUUUUGUGGGGUGCUCGAGUGGCGAACGGGUGAGUAACACGUGAGUAACCUGCCCUGUACUUUGGGAUAACUUCAGGAAACUGGGGCUAAUACCGGAUAGGAGCUCCUGCUGCAUGGUGGGGGUUGGAAAGUUUCGGCGGUUGGGGAUGGACUCGCGGCUUAUCAGCUUGUUGGUGGGGUAGUGGAUUACCAAGGCUUUGACGGGUAGCCGGCCUGAGAGGGUGACCGGCCACAUUGGGACUGAGAUACGGCACAGACUCGUACGGGAGGCAGCAGUGGGGAAUAUUGCACAAUGGGCGGAAGCCUGAUGCAGCAACGCCGCGUGCGGGAUGACGGCCUUCGGGUUGUAAACCGCUUUCGCCUGUGACGAAGCGUGAGUGACGGUAAUGGGUAAAGAAGCACCGGCUAACUACGUG